rnacentral:tRNA from 1 species
GCGUCCUUAGUUCAGUUGGUAGAACGCGGGUCUCCAAAACCCGAUGUCGGGGGUUCGAGUCCUCCAGGGCGCGC